rnacentral:tRNA from 1 species
GCCUGGGUGGCUUGGUCGGUUAAGCGUCUGACUUCGGCUCAGGUCAUGAUCUCAGGUCCGUGAGUUCGAGCCCCGCAUCAGGCU